rnacentral:rRNA from 1 species
GACGAACGCUGGCGGCGUGCUUAACACAUGCAAGUCGAACGAAGCGCGCUGGAAGCUUGCUUCUAUCAAUCUUAGUGGCGAACGGGUGAGUAACGCGUAAUCAACCUGCCCUUCAGAGGGGGACAACAGUUGGAAACGACUGCUAAUCCCGCAUACGAUCUAAUCUCGGCAUCGAGGAUAGAUGUAAGGUGGCCUCUACAUGUAAGCUCUCCCUGAAGGAGGGGACUGCGUCUGAUUAGCUAGGUGGGGGGGUAACGUGCCACCAAGGCUAGGCUCAGUAGCCGGUCAGAAAGGAUGAACUGCCACAUUGGGACUGAGACACGGCCCAGACUACUACGGGAGGCAGCAGUGGGGAAUCUUCCGCGAUGGACGAAAGGCGGACGGAGCAACGCCGCGUGAGUGCUGACGGCCGUAGGGUUGUAAAGCUCUGUUAAUCGGGACGAAAGGCCUUCUUGCGAAUAGGGAGAAGGAUUGACGGUACCGGAAGAGAAAGCCACGGCUAACUACGUG